rnacentral:rRNA from 1 species
UACGUAGGUGACCAGCGUUGUCCGGAUUUACUGGGCGUAAAGAGCGCGCAGGCGGUCGUUCAAGUCGAGUGUGAAAGCCCCCGGCUCAACUGGGGAGGGUCAUUCGAUACUGAUCGACUCGAAGGCAGGAGAGGGAAGCGGAAUUCCCGGUGUAGUGGUGAAAUGCGUAGAUAUCUGGAGGAACACCGGUGGCGAAGGCGGCAUCCUGGACCGACACUGACACUGAGGAGCGAAAGCCAGGGGAGCAAACGGG